GUGUUGAAUACACAAAAACUGACUUAACGGACAAUUGUGUGUCUUAAAAGUAUGCUGCUUUGACACUGCACAGAAGAUAUAACUCAGCUACUUCAUGCUCCCAAUCUCAUCUAACUGGUGCUGGUUACUUGGUAGGCUCAUGCCUUGUGAUUUUUCAUCACCAUGAGGAUCCCAAGAGGCAUCACCAGAAUCACCAACAGAAGAAACCUGGAUCACUCAUGGAAUAUAUGGGCCAGGCAGACAUUCUGCCCUUUAGUGGAGAUUGGAAGCCUGAAGCACUGACCUGUCACUCCCAUGAGACCACAUGAUGAAAUUGGAAGAGGGACAGCAUCUGCACUACUUCCAUUUUCAGAACAAAGAAUUUGACUUUCAGACAUGAAGGAUCUGGAGGAGUUCAUAUUACACAUUUGUCUGUGUACAGUACACAUAUCAUGAAUUCAGUGAGAGAUAAAAGAAGCAAUACAGUUGGGAUGUUCAAGCUUUCAAAGCCUGCCUUCACAUUAAGCAAGAAAUGCCUCUUAAAACAUAUAUUAUGGGACCAGAUGAACAUGUCCUUCAGACUUGGAGAAUUAUUUAAAAUAUUCCAGUAGAUGAAGGUAAGAAAACAUUCAUUUCAGCUGGUCUUUCACUUUGAUACGUGCCGAUGAGUAUGGAAAUGUGAAAAUGAAACAACUUAAGAAUUUGUAGCUCAAAUUACAUAUGAAAAUCAUCCAUUCAAGUGUGGAUUUAAUCAUUUUUGUCUUAGUCAGCUCAUUCUUUCAAACACCCGUUUCCUAUUCCAGGUUACAAUACUUAUACUGUAGUGUAGAUUACUAUAAUUAACAGGUUAAACACAUGAAAACAGUUUUUUCCCCUUGAUGUGCCUUUGGAUCCUUUAUUUUGCUAGCAGUUAUACAUAAGAGUCACUUCCUACAAACGAGAAACAACUGCUGUGGGGUUUCUUAAUGCUGCUAAUGUUCUUUUCUUUCCUUCCAGUAUUAACAGUGAGAAAUUAUUGUCUGUAAAUAAAAAAACACAAUGAAGAGUACA
rnacentral:lncRNA from 1 species